rnacentral:rRNA from 1 species
UGAGGAAUAUUGGUCAAUGGGCGAGAGCCUGAACCAGCCAAGUCGCGUGAGGGAAGACGGUCCUACGGAUUGUAAACCUCUUUUGUCGGGGAGCAAUAAAGCGUACGCGUACGCAGAUGCAAGUACCCGAAGAAAAAGCAUCGGCUAACUCCGUGCC